CGACGGGUGAGUAACGCGUAUCCAACCUGCCCUUUACUAUGGGACAGCCCGUCGAAAGGCGGAUUAAUACCGUAUGUUGUCAUGUUGAUGCAUAUUUUCAUGACCAAAGGCUUCGGCCGGUAAAGGAUGGGGAUGCGUCUGAUUAGCUUGCCGGCGGGGUAACGGCCCACCGGGGCGACGAUCAGUAGGGGUUCUGAGAGGAAGGUCCCCCACAUUGGAACUGAGACACGGUCCAAACUCCUACGGGAGGCAGCAG
rnacentral:rRNA from 1 species